AUUGAACGCUGGCGGAAUGCUUUACACAUGCAAGUCGAACGGCAGCACGGACUUCGGUCUGGUGGCGAGUGGCGAACGGGUGAGUAACAUAUCGGAACGUAUCCAAUAAUGGGGGAUAACGAGUCGAAAGAUUCGCUAAUACCGCAUACGCCCUACGGGGGAAAGCUGGGGACCUUCGGGCCUGGCGUUAAUGGAGCGGCCGAUAACUGAUUAGCUAGUUGGUGAGGUAAAGGCUCACCAAGGCGACGAUCAGUAGCGGGUCUGAGAGGACGACCAGCCACACUGGAACUGAGACACGGUCCAGACUCCUACGGGAGGCAGCAGUGGGGAAUUUUGGACAAUGGGCGCAAGCCUGAUCCAGCCAUUCCGCGUGAGUGAAGAAGGCCUUCGGGUUGUAAAGCUCUUUCGCAAGGGAAGAAAACUUAGCCACUAACAUUGGUUGAGGUUGACGGUACCUUGAUAAGAAGCACCGGCUAACUACGUGCCAGCAGCCGCAGUAA
rnacentral:rRNA from 1 species